GUUGCUCCUAACGCCUCCAAUGAUCCAUAAGCUCUGCAUUCAUGCUCUAUUAAGCUUCAUUUUUAUCAAAUUCUAGUCCUGCAACACUAAUCAUAUCCAUUAGUUCAAGACACAAACUAAGCUCAAAUACAUGACAUAAUAUGUAAUGUAGCUCAUGAAAUGGGUGCAAGUAAGGAUAAUAAUUAGUACUUGGACGUAUAAAUACGCGCU
rnacentral:lncRNA from 1 species